rnacentral:lncRNA from 1 species
AAAUUAUUUUCAUGGUUUUGUUGGAAACCCAAAUUAUUUUCACGGUUUUGUUGAAAUUGCAGGCUUAUCUUUGUGGUUUUGUUUGAAAGCCGGGUUUAUUUUAUGGUUUUGUUCAAGUUCUGGGCUUAUCUUCACGGUUUUGGUUGAAAUCCAGGCUUAUCGUCACGGUUUUGUUCAAAAUUUGGGCUUUUCACCCCAGUUUUGCUCGAAAUCCAGAUUUAUUUUACAGUUUCGUUCAAGUGCUGGGCUUAUCUUCACGCUCUUGUUUGAAAUCUGCAUUUAUUUUUGUGGUUUCAUUCAAAUUCUGGGCUUUCCAUCCCAAUUUUGUUUGAAAUCCAGGUUUAUUUUACAGUUUUCUUCAAGUUCUGGACUUACAUUCAUGGUUUUGGUCAAAAUCCACAUUUAUUAUCAUGGUUUUAUUCAAAUCUGGGCUUUCCAUCCCACUUUUGUUCGAAAUCUGGGUUUCUUUUCACAGUUUUAUUGGAAAUCCAGGCUUAUAUUCAUGGUUUUCUUCAUAUUUUGGGCUUAUUUUCGUGUUUUUCUUCUAAUUCUGGGCUUCUCCUCCUGGUUGUGUUCAAAUCCAGGCUUAUAUUCACGGUUUUCUUCAUAUUUUGGGUUUAUUUUCAUAUUUUUCUUCUAA